CCUCUCAAGCGGCAGAUCCCAUGCUGAGGCGAUCGACCACGACAAAUUGAUCCCACCGCACCUACCUCUUCCCCUCCCUCUCCUCCCUCCCCUCCUACCUCCGACCGAUUCUUUUCCACAGGGAUUCAGCAGCUGGCGGGAUUUUAGGGAUUCUUUUCCGCAAGGAUUCCUCUCCCAGUGUUCUCCCUCCGUCUGCGAGGAGUAUAAAGUGGAGCAGUUCGAGCUCUGCGUCCUCCUCUCUGAGGUCUCUCUUGCCGCACGUCUCCCUUGUUUGCAUCUCGCAUAAGCUUCUCAAGUACGGGAUUCGGAGAUUCUUGUUCGUGGAUCAGCACCACGGCCAUGUCCAGAGAUUUCAAAAGGAGUAUGUCCGCAAAAUCCAGGCUGAUAAUAACCAAAAGAAUCAGCAUAGACAAAGAAAUUGAACCUUGGGGCUUUUUAAUGAAUGUUCACACAAGCAGAGUAUUCUUGAGAAGAAAUUGAUGAGGUGCGAUAGGAGUUGGCAGAAUGUAUACAAGAUCAUAUUUAUGAGUAGGUGCAUUCAAGUUUAUGUUUGAUGCUAUUAUACACUUCGCUGGACUAAAAGCUAUUGGUGAAAGUUCAUAUGGCUUGGUGACUUGAACUACCGUAUUGCUCUUUCAUAUCAGUCUACAAAAGCACUAGUUGAGAUGCACAACUGGAGAGCAUUGUUGGAAAAGGAUCAGCUUCGGAGGGAGCAAAGGUGUGGACAUGUUUUUGAAGGAUGGAAGGAAGGAGGGAUAUCCUUUCCUCCCACCUACAAAUAUUCAAACAACUCUGACAGAUACGUUGGCCGCUUUACAGCCAUGCCGCUUGAAGUCUCUCAAAGACAUUACUGGAAUUGAUAUCUUCCAAAAGCAUUUUCUCACAACACUUUCUAAGGUCUUGCAAAUAAUACUUGUCUGUAGCAGCCAGCAACGGGAAGCAAUGCUUCUCCAAAUCUUGUUGUUUGAUAGUCCCAUACAUGUAUGCAAGAAGAGCCGAGCAUACAUCCGUCGUUCAUACUAGCAUGCUGUGUUGUUUAAUUUGUCGUUCUUAGUUUACCAUAAUUCAGUACCCUGGCACUCUGUGCAAAAGAUAGAAGAAAUUUUAUUUUGGAGGGUUGCUUUGCC